UUUGAGAAAACAGAGCUCGUGUCUGCUGGAUUCACAAAAAUUUGUCAUUACCUGUCAUUACCUGUCAAACUAAAAGUAAUGAUUUAUCACUUAAAAAAUGUCUUUCCAAUAUUCCAUUGAAGAAAAACUCGAAAUGGGUGUCAGCCGUAAUUCAGUGAAUACUAGUUCAGCUUAUACCUGUGGCAUUGUGAACGUUAUUUAGACUAAAAUUUGGAUUAUGCGUCACAGGAUUUGCAACCAACGCUUGAUUUAGAUCAUGAGUUACAGGGAAAAUUUCGUUUACCUUUUUUCUGGGACCAAAAUUUCCAUUUACUUCAAAAUUGGCGAAAUAAGCUUCGAUUUGGAUGUUCCUGUUUUCAGAGCUGCCCCUUGAAUAUGCACCAAAAGAAAAAUUUACUGAUAUUGAGGUUCAAUAUCGUAACUUGUUGACUAUACAAUGGGAUGAGUAUUUUGAGAAUGGGAUUCCAAAUUGUGAUGCAGAACUAUUCUGGAGAAAAGUGAUUACAGUAAAAACGCAGCCGAUGAAUUUAUGUUUAUAGAUAUGGCACUUCUUGCAUUUACCAUGUUAUCUCUACCAUAUUCAAAUGCGGAAGCAGAGAGAACUUUUUCCAUGACGAAUUUAAUUAAAACUAAAAUAAGAAAUAAGAUGCAAUUAAAUUUACUAAAUGCAAUUAUGAUUAUUCAGAACCACCUAAAUUAAGAAGGAAUUUGUUGUAAAGAUUUUAUACCGAAUAAAAUAUGUUGACGUAUCUUUCGACGAUCUACAGGGAUCAGGAAGGGCAAAAUGUCACAGAUUAUGAUGUAUGCGAAGAAAUUAUGGAAAACUUUUAAUAAUAAAUAUUAAAAAUU